rnacentral:rRNA from 1 species
AAAUUGAAGAGUUUGAUCAUGGCUCAGAUUGAACGCUGGCGGCAGGCCUAACACAUGCAAGUCGAACGGUAACAGGAAGAAGCUUGCUUCUUUGCUGACGAGUGGCGGACGGGUGAGUAAUGUCUGGGAAACUGCCUGAUGGAGGGGGAUAACUACUGGAAACGGUAGCUAAUACCGCAUAACGUCGCAAGACCAAAGAGGGGGACCUUCGGGCCUCUUGCCAUCGGAUGUGCCCA